UACGUAGGGUCCAAGCGUUAUCCGGAAUCAUUGGGUUUAAAGGGUCCGUAGGCGGCCUUAUAAGUCAGUGGUGAAAUCUCCUAGCUCAACUAGGAAAUGGCCAUUGAUACUGUAGGGCUUGAAUUAUUGUGAAGUAACUAGAAUAUGUAGUGUAGCGGUGAAAUGCUUAGAUAUUACAUGGAAUACCAAUUGCGAAGGCAGGUUACUAACAAUAUAUUGACGCUGAUGGACGAAAGCGUGGGGAGCGAACAGG
rnacentral:rRNA from 1 species